GACGAACGCUGGCGGCGUGCCUAAUACAUGCAAGUCGAACGCUGAUUUUCUAACUAAUGCUUGCAUUGACUUGAAAAUCGGAGUGGCGAACGGGUGAGUAACACGUGGGUAACCUGCCUAUCAGAGGGGGAUAACACUUGGAAACAGGUGCUAAUACCGCAUAACAAUGGAAACCGCAUGGUUUCUAUUUAAAAGGCGCUUAUGGUGUCACUGAUAGAUGGACCCGCGGUGCAUUAGCUAGUCGGUGGGGUAACGGCCUACCGAGGCGAUGAUGCAUGUAUUAGGCACGCCGCCAG
rnacentral:rRNA from 1 species